rnacentral:rRNA from 1 species
CCUACGGGUGGCAGCAGUUAGGAAUUUUGCGCAAUGGACGAAAGUCUGACGCAGCGACGCCGCGUGAGGGAUGAAGGCCUUCGGGUUGUAAACCUCUUUUAGCAGGAAAGAAACAAAUGACGGUACCUGCAGAAAAAGCACCGGCUAACUCUGUGCCAGCAGCCGCGGUAAUACAGAGGGUGCAAGCGUUAUUCGGAAUUAUUGGGCGUAAAGAGCACGUAGGUGGUUCGGUAAGUCAGAUGUGAAAUCCCUGGUCUCAAUCCAGGAAGUGCAUCUGAUACUGCCAGACUAGAGUAUAGGAGAGGAGAGCGGAAUUCCCGGUGUAGAGGUGAAAUUCAUAGAUAUCGGGAGGAACAACAGAGGCGAAGGCGGCUCUCUGGACUAUUACUGACACUGAGGUGCGAAAGCGUGGGGAGCAAACAGGAUUAGAUACCCCAGUAGUC